ACAUCUUUCAGACGAAUCUGGCAAGUCCCGGGACCAGAAGAUCAUUAGAACGCGUGUGACUAUCCCGAAACUAUAUUCCCUCCCUCCCAACACCCGUCCCUUCCUAAUUUAUUAUAAAAGUUGUUUUGGAGGACAAAAACAGUUUUAUUACGGUUGUCUUACAAAGUAGUAUCUAGGGAACGUAAGUUGGUUUGGAGGACGAAAACAGUUUAACAUAUUACGUUGGUCUUACAAUGUAGCAUAAUUUCAGCGGAACGCUAAACCCAUAAAAAUACUGUAGUGAACGCCCUAAUUACUGAAUACCGACGUACAACACAGAGAGAAAAAAUGAAGGGUUGGAGAACUUGGAGGUGUAUUAUCGCAGUCUAAGGAAAGCGGGAUUAAUGGUGACGGAACAGAUUUCGCAAUGGAGUAUUCUUGGUGACGAAAUGGGGUGUACUUAGGUACCCAGUUCUUGUCUAUUUUACUGCAAGGCGAAUACCAGUGAGUUUUAAGUUCUGAGUAUCACCAUUCUCUUCCAUCGUUGAGAGUAUUCAUCUCAUGUUUAACCAUUUGAAAGGAAAAUCUGGUGUUAUGGUAACCGUGGCCUGACCUUUCCUUUAGGGGGACAUAUUUGGUAUCAUGGUUCAAAGAGAAGUGAAAAGACCAAUGUGGGUGAACGAAACUGAUGUUUGAAAUUAAAGCGCGGCUAGGCCGAGUAGAACUACAGGAAUAAGAACUGAAACAGAACAACAACAAGCAAUCUGUCUCCAACAGCAAAGAGAGAGAAACAGACGUGGAAUAAGAAAGGGAGCAGAACCAAUGAGAAAGACAAAAUAAAGAUAGAGGCAGAAGAUGAGAGAGAUGGGCAAAUUAACAGUCGGAGAGAGAGACAAAGACAAAAUAGAGAGAGACACACAGAAGUGGAGAGAAAGUGACUCAGUCAACAGAACAAAACAUGAGAAAUCAUUUGACGAGGAGGCAAAAUCUCUAAAUGUUGGAUGUAUGAAUAAGGUUUGUCCUCACUGUAGAGCUCAGCUGUUUCUUGAAGGAACUGCCAAUUUUUGCUGUAUUGAAUGGAAAAUUAGAUUAGAAAAUAUCCAUGCUUUCUCCCCCACCUGAAAUCCAUCAUUUAUUCAGCUAUGAUCAGCUCAUUGCAAAUAAAUUUAGGAAGAACCCAAGAAGUAUAACUGUCUUUUCCAAAUGACAUCUUUUGGAGCCAAAGAAAUAACUUCUAGAAAUGGUCGGAAUCCUUCUGUCAUAAUCCAAGAGCAGGUUCAUCAUUAUAUUGGAUCACUAAUUACUAAUUCCUGAACCUUGUGAACAAGGUAAAUAAUCCAUCUAUAUUUUUUGGAUUCACAAGAGAGCACUGAAAUUAGAAUGAGAGUUAUUAGAUGUUCUAAGACAACACGACCAAGGAAGAAAGAAACUUUCCUUUAGCAAGAAGCAAAAUUGCACCUAAUAAGAGGCCAGCUCAAGAACAUGAGAGGAGGUUCAAUAAUCAACUUGCCAAUGAAGCGUCUGCCAUCAUUCAAAAUAAUAAUGAGCCAACAUCAUCCUCAUGGCAUAUUUUGCUUACUCAGAGAGGACAACUGCAAACUAUAUCCGAGUCCCAUCAAUCAUAUGAUCCUCUUCAGUACGUCCUUUUCUUUCCUUCUGGAGAGAACGAUCACGGCUCAAAGAGGAGUGAAAAGACCCAUAUGAAUGAACGAAACUGAUGAUAGAAAUCAAAGUGAGGCUGGGCAGAGUAGAACCACAAGAAUAAGAACUGAAACAGAACAACAACAAGCAAUCAGUCUCCAACAACAAAGAGAGAGGAACAGACAUAUAAUAAGAGGGGAGCAGCACCUAAGAAACCAUUGAGAAAGACAGACAAAUUAAAGAUAUGUAGAGAAGCAGAAGAUGAGAGUGAUGGGCGACUUAACAGUCGGAGAAAAAGAUAAAUGAGCCACCAUCAUCUUCACGGCACAUUGUGCUGACUCAGAGAGGAGGACAACUGUAAACUGUAUCAUAGUCACACCGAUCAUAUGAUCCUCUGCAGUACUUCCUAUUCUUUCCAUCUGGAGAGGACUGUUGGCAUCAACAAAUGCAAAUAACCAAUAAAAAAAUAAACCUUGAAAGCAUUGCGUAUUAUACAUAUCGUUUAAUGGACCACGAAAUUUAAUUCAGUCAUCUAUUAAGAGGUGGGCAGAACUGAAUCCUCAAGAUGUUCUCCAAACUUGAAAGACAAUAUGGAUGGGUAUUCACGCUCAGGUUUACCUGUCAGUCUACCCACAACUGUUCGACAGAUGAGUGUCCACACACAAAAAGUAGAACUAUCUGUCAGACAGUCGAUUCAAGGACAUUGACCUCAUUCCUCGCCUAGCCUUCAUUGUGGCAACAACUAUACGGCAGCGUUAGAAACCCCACUGGGUGAUAAGGACUUGGAGUUACAUAGACUAGCUGCUGCAGCAAUUCGCUUCAAAAUAGGAAAGAAACAAAAAGGCAUAACAAAGUAUGGUCUAAAUAUUGCCUAUUAAAGAGGGAUGUCUAUUCUUAUACAAUGUUAAUGAAUAAGGUUAAAUUAGACCUGGGGUUUGGUUCAGUUAUUUAUGAAAUAGACUGUGAAGCCUACUUUCACUAGUAACACCUUUCAUAAAAAGGCAGAACACUAUACUAGGCUUAUACCAAAUUGUCUAUCGCAUGGAAAAAUAUACUAUUUUUAUUUUUUAUCAUAAGAUUUUGAUUCACAAUGGUCUACAAAUAGGGGAGAGCGGGGCUAGUUGCAUCAAAUUUUACAUUUCCUUCUACAGUAUUGUGUAACAUUCAUUUAAUUUAAAUUCAGUUGUCAUAUAUAAGACCUCAUCAUCGAGUUCACAUGCGUAGAUAUUAAUAAAAAUAAUUUCUUAUAUAUUUAAUUUUGAUAUAUAAUUAAAAAUCUUUUUGAUGCAACUUACCCCAUCUGCGGGGCAAGUUGCAUCAGUAUGAGGGGCAAGUUGAAUCAUAAGCAAAUUAUAAUUUUUGAGAUAUUUCAAUGAUAAGUAAAUACAAAACCACUGCACGAGGUUUCUGAACAGUUUUUACUCCACUUUCAUAAACAUUCCAUGUCUUGAGGUUCAAAAUUUAUAUUUAUCCAUGAGAGAAGACAGCUUGGAGAAAAAUAACUACAUUAUGUUUGUUGAAACUUGUAGCUCUGGCCAAACUUGUCGCUUCAGGUUGUCUAAUUGAUAGUACAUGUCCAUGUCGCCUCAUGAAACCUGAAAACCAGUCUUUUCCAGCGUAUUUAUCAUUGCACCAAUUAUCAGGCAUUUUUAUCUUUGCUUCAUUGGCGCACUUAUAAGCCAGUUCCUUGACUUCUCUCGGAGAAAGACCAAAAUAAAUUGCUGCUGCUGUUUUCAGAUAGGAUACUAAUUCUUCUUCCUGUUCAUAUGUAAAUACUUGUCUUGGUUUGGCAUAUCCUACAUGUGCAUUGUUUUUAGCAGUGUUACCAGAGGUUUUGUGAAUAAAUCGUUGUAAGGUUGAGUA